CUACAUCAAUUUUUGGUAUCAGAGCCUAAAAUUGAGCCAACGUUCCAUUGCUUUCUACAAAAUUACUAAACCUCCCAUUCAAUUCUUCCCACUCCUUAGAUCCCCACCUGUGUUUUUGUCCUUCAAAAUUUUUCCUUGUUAACUACAGCUCAAAAAAAAAAGCAAAAGUCAAAAACUAGAAGAAUCCAACAACUCGUCAUCAGCCAAUCUGUUUCUUCGCAUCGUCGGAACUUCAGUCCAAUGCACCUAGACCUUUAACCCGACAGAUCGAGUUUUCGGAUCAGCUUCCACCAACAAACUCAUCCUUGUUUUCAAUAGAAACAACUCUUAAAAACUAAAUUUUGAUUUUUUUUUUUUCCUUCAAGGUAUGUUUUCUUACUUCAAAUGCUAUGGAAACUUAUAUUAAAAGAGCUUGAAGAAUGCAAGAAUGAAUACUAUGUUCAAAAAAACUCAUCAACAAGUUAAAGAUA
rnacentral:misc_RNA from 1 species